CGUGUAGGCGGUGCGGUAAGUCGGGCGUGAAAUCCCCGGGCUUAACCCGGGGGGGUCGUUCGAAACUGCCGUGCUAGGGUACGGGAGAGGGCAGUGGAAUUCCCGGUGUAGCGGUGAAAUGCGUAGAUAUCGGGAGGAACAUCUGCGGCGAAGGCGGCUGCCUGGACCGUUACCGACGCUGAGGCGCGAAAGCUAGGGGAGCAAACAGGAUUAGAUACCCUGGUAGCCUAGCCCUAAACGAUGAGCACUUGGUGUGGCCCCUUACGGGGCCGUGCCGGAGCUAACGCGUUAAGUCGCUCCGCCUGGGGAGUACGGUCGCAAGGCUGAA
rnacentral:rRNA from 1 species